rnacentral:rRNA from 1 species
AAAUUGAAGAGUUUGAUCAUGGCUCAGAUUGAACGCUGGCGGCAGGCCUAACACAUGCAAGUCGAACGGUAACAGGAAGCAGCUUGCUGCUUCGCUGACGAGUGGCGGACGGGUGAGUAAUGUCUGGGAAACUGCCUGAUGGAGGGGGAUAACUACUGGAAACGGUAGCUAAUACCGCAUAACGUCGCAAGACCAAAGAGGGGGACCUUCGGGCCUCUUGCCAUCGGAUGUGCCCAGAUGGGAUUAGCUUGUUGGUGGGGUAACGGCUCACCAAGGCGACGAUCCCUAGCUGGUCUGAGAGGAUGACCAGCCACACUGGAACUGAGACACGGUCCAGACUCCUACGGGAGGCAGCAGUGGGGAAUAUUGCACAAUGGGCGCAAGCCUGAUGCAGCCAUGCCGCGUGUAUGAAGAAGGCCUUCGGGUUGUAAAGUACUUUCAGCGGGGAGGAAGGGAGUAAAGUUAAUACCUUUGCUCAUUGACGUUACCCGCAGAAGAAGCACCGGCUAACUCC